rnacentral:rRNA from 1 species
UCAGAUGUAGAAACGGCCCGGGGUACUUAACCGUACGGUAAUUGCUAUUUAGAAACGUGGACGAGGCUAGAGUCUUGUAGAGGGGGUAGAAUUUCAGGUGUAGCGGUGAAAAUGCGUAGAGAUCUGAAGGAAUACCAGUGGCGAAGGCGGCCCCCUGGACAAAGACUGACGCUCAGAUGCGAAAGCGUGGGGAGCAAACAGGAUUAGAUACCCUGGUAG